rnacentral:misc_RNA from 1 species
GAUGAAGAACGUAGCGAAAUGCGAUACGUAGUGUGAAUUGCAGAAUUCAGUGAAUCAUCGAAUCUUUGAACGCACAUUGCACCUCUCGGUAUUCCGGGAGGUAUGCCUGUUCGAGCGUCAUUUAUACCCUCAAGCUCUGCUUGGUGUUGGGUGUUUGUUCCGCCUCUGUGUGUGAACUCGCCUCAAAACAAUUGGCAGCCGGCGUACUUGUUUCGGAGCGCAGCACAUUUUGCGAUCCAGAUCAACGUACAGCGGCAUCCAAGAAGCCUUAUUUAACGCUCUUGACCUCGGAUCAGGUAGGGAUACCCGCUGAACUUAAGCAUAUCAAUAAGCGGAGGA